rnacentral:rRNA from 1 species
GUGGGGAAUCUUCCGCAAUGGACGAAAGUCUGACGGAGCAACGCCGCGUGAGUGAAGAAGGUUUUCGGAUCGUAAAGCUCUUUCGUUAGGGACGAACGUGCUCUUUGUGAAUAAUGAGGAGUAAUGACGGUACCUAAAUAAGAAGCCACGGCUAACUACGUGCCAGUAGCCGCGGUAAUACGUAGGUGGCAAGCGUUGUCCGGAAUUAUUGGGCGUAAAGCGCGCGCAGGCGGGAUAUCAAGUCUGUCUUAAAAGUGCGAGGCUCAACCUCGUGAGGGGACAGAAACUGGUAUUCUUGAGUGUCGGAGAGGAAAGUGGAAUUCCAAGUGUAGCGGUGAAAUGCGUAGAGAUUUGGAAGAACACCAGUGGCGAAGGCGACUUUCUGGACGAUGUCUGACGCUGAGGCGCGAAAGCUAGGGGAGCGAACGGGAUUAGAAACCCUAGUAGUCC